UCUAUCAAUGAGUUGUGGCUAUUUAAAUGAAAAUAGGAGUACAUAAGACUCGCAGACACAAAUAAAUUUAAUUAUUAUUUGUAAUUGAAGAGGUACUUGAAUGGAAGUACCAAUUUCUCAGUUACACCAUUGCUUAUUGUUUGGCUCGGUUCCCGCCCCGAUGAGAGGAUCGCAGAUAACUGUUAAAACAGAACAAUUAACGGGCCGAAGAAAAUAGCUGCGGCCGCUUUUAUGCAAAACGCCUUUAUUAUAAUUACAGGGAUAGUUUUGGCAGGUUUCGAACCAACAAUCUAUCAAGCAGUGGACCAAACAACGGGGAUAAGGUAACCUAAAAUAAGCACUGGCUGGUGUAACAGUCACGACACAUACAUACUUGAUAUUUCUGCUGAGUGCAAUUGAAGUGUUUGCUAAGUUUGAACAGCUAAUAAUGUACCCAUCGCAAGAAAUGAGUUUAAAGUGCUUUUCGUUUCAGAGAAAUGUGAUCUUGAGUACAAGGUAUAUUACAUUUAAAAUUAGAUGAAUUAUAUAUACAAAUUUCAAGAUUUCCGUUUUGGACACUUUUAUUGAAAACAAAAUAUUGUUUAUUGAAAUAUUUCCAAGAAAGUGUGAACUUUAAUUCGACGCUGAAGUGGGCUCUUGAGAAAUGGUUGAUAAGGAAGCUCUUACGAACGGCUGAUGUGGAGAAUUAUUAUUAUUAUAUUAUUUAGGUCAUUACUAAAUAAAGCGAAUAUAAAUUUUUUAACAUU